UACGUAGGGUGCAAGCGUUGUCCGGAAUUAUUGGGCGUAAAGAGCUCGUAGGCGGUUUGUCGCGUCGAAUGUGAAAACCCGGGGCUCAACCCCGGGCCUGCAUUCGAUACGGGCAGACUAGAGUUCGGUAGGGGAGUCUGGAAUUCCUGGUGUAGCGGUGAAAUGCGCAGAUAUCAGGAGGAACACCGGUGGCGAAGGCGGCUUCCUGGACCGACACUGACGCUGAGGCGCGAAAGCUAGGGGAGCAAACGGG
rnacentral:rRNA from 1 species